GUGCACAGAGCUGAAAAAUGCUCGCAAAGCGACGGAGGAGAUUCAGCUAGUCUCGGUCUGAAAUGUCGACUGUUCUUUGCUGCCUGACCCGCUGAAUUCCUCCAGCAAGCUGGAAAGGACACAAACAAAAGGGACGUAGCCUCAGGAUUCGGGGGGAGCGGAUUCAGGAUGGAGAUGAGGAGGAACUGCUUUUCCCAAAGACGGGGGAGACCUUUACAAAGGGACACUUCAAGGCCACACAGCAUCUACGAAGAGACAGAGUAACACAGACGUGAUGGUGGAGGAACUCAGCAGCGGGCACCUGAAUCAUGAAGGCCAGCACAUCAUACACAUUCUGAACGUGUGUAAGCUUGUGUAGCAUCUUUAAUGGACUUUGACCUAAAGAUCCCCUUGGUUUCAAAGCACUGCAAAGAGUCCUGCCAUUAGCCUUAGACACCACCAUCAAGUUCAAAAGUUUGUUUUGAUUUCCCCAGGUGGAUGUCAUUAGCAUGUCCAAUAUUUUUGCCGAAAUGCCCCUUGAAUUUAAGGAUCAAGAAUCAACUGUAUUUGCCAUAUACAGAACAUGUGUGAGGAAUUUGCUGUGGUGUGUUGGUCAGGGUGUUACAUGGAACAAAAAACAACAAUGUUCAACAAUUAUAAAGAAUUAUACACAUGUUGGCAUUCACCUCUCAUUUUGGCAGUCUGUGGUACUCACCUGCUUCAAGCAGGCUUCAAUUAUACUGGUGCCUGUAAAGAACAUGGUAACCUGCCUCAAAGACUAUUGUCCAGUAGCACUUACAUGCACAGUGAUGAUGUGUUUUGAAAGGUUGGUGAUGAAACAUAUCAACUCCAGCCUGAGGAGCAAUUUAGAUCCAUUUCAAUUUACUGUGCCUACCAGCGCAAUGACUCCACAGCAGAUGCCAUCUCAUUGGCUGCUCAUUCAACCCUGGAACAUCUGGACAGUAAAGAUGCCAUCUCAUUGGCUGCUCAUUCAACCCUGGAACAUCUGGACAGUAAAGAUGCCAUCUCAUUGGCUGCUCAUUCAACCCUGGAACAUCUGGACAGGAUGCUCUUCAUUGACUGCAGCUCUGCAUUCAACACCAUCAUCCCUUCAAACUAAUAAGUUUCAAGACCUUGGCCUCAAUACCUCCUUGUGCAAUUGGAUCCUCUAUUUCCUCACAAGCAAAUCGGAUUGGGAGCAACAUCUUGUGCAUAAUGUCUAUCAGCCAGGUACACCACUAGGCUGAGUGCUUAGCCCCCUGCUCUACUCACAUUAUGCCUAUGACUGUAAGGCUAAAAGCUGAUUUAUACUUCUGCGUAGUAGCCUGUGCUGUUGUAACCAUUUAUGCCUGUGCGUCGGUGUGUCUGCGUCGCUCUGCAAUUCACCGCCAAAACGCUAGUUGACAGUGGGAUUUCUGAUGGCAACUGAGUGCAUCAUGUUGGAGUUGGAGCUAAUAAAUGUUGAACAAGGGUUACUGCAAAUUACUGCAACGCAGAAAAGAGAGAAGAUGUCAGAGGAGAUUAUAUGUAUGACCAUUGAACAGAUUGAGGCAGAAGGAGGGUGAAUUUUCUGUGCUUGUCUGGCCACUGAGAGACAUGGACGAGGAAAUGCAUUUCAAAUAUUUUCGGAUGUGGGCAGGUAGAUUUGACGAUUUGGUUCAUUGUCUCCAACUGUUUAUUUCUCAUCAGUGUACAUCGAAAGGAGGAAAUGCAAUGUUACCAAGCGGACCAAUCACAGUUGUUGCGGUCUGCAUUGCCGCAACGCGCAGUUACAUUUUUGGAGAGGUGCGCGUCAGGCUAUGGUGUAGGGUACAGUGUAGGUUACGCGGCUACGCCAUACCUACAGCAUUCAUUUGACGCAGAAGUAUAAAUCAGCCUUAAGCACAGCUCCAAUGUCAUAUUUAAGUUGGGUGUGGUCUUUCAUUGAUUCUAUUAUAUUUCUUGGAUUUACAGAGUAUACACGCAAGAAAGCAAAUCUUGUGUUGAAUAUGGUGACAUUUAUGUACGUUGGUAAUAAACUUACUUUGUACUUGCUAUAAAAAUCAAAUAAAGUUAGAGGUUAAAGGAUGGUUAUGUAAUAAAAUGUGCAUAAAUAAAUAAUAGCCAGCAUGUAUUUAGCAUUAUAAAAGUGGUCUUAAGUGUCCACAUGCAGUGCAGUGACGAUGGUCCUCCAGGCCAUUCCAAUCAGCAACUGAGCAUUGAUUCCAUUUUUGUCAGACUGGAGUCACAUUCCAGCCAGAUGGUGUAACAAUUA